AUUGAACGCUGGCGGCAGGCUUAACACAUGCAAGUCGAGCGGAGAGAGGUAGCUUGCUACCGAUCUUAGCGGCGGACGGAUGAGUAAUGCUUAGGAAUCUGCCUAUUAGUGGGGGACAACAUUUCGAAAGGAAUGCUAAUACCGCAUACGUCCUACGGGAGAAAGCAGGGGAUCUUCGGACCUUGCGCUAAUAGAUGAGCCUAAGUCGGAUUAGCUAGUUGGUGGGGUAAAGGCCUACCAAGGCGACGAUCUGUAGCGGGUCUGAGAGGAUGAUCCGCCACACUGGGACUGGGACGCGGCCCAGACUCCUACGGGAGGCAGCAGUGGGGAAUAUUGGACAAUGGGCGCAAGCCUGAUCCAGCCAUGCCGCGUGUGUGAAGAAGGCCUUAUGGUUGUAAAGCACUUUAAGCGAGGAGGAGGCUACUUUAGUUAAUACCUAGAGAUAGUGGACGUUACUCGCAGAAUAAGCACCGGCUAACUCUGUGCCAGCCGCCGCUGUAACAC
rnacentral:rRNA from 1 species